CCUACGGGCGGCAGCAGUGAGGAAUAUUCGUCAAUGGACGAGAGUCUGAACCAGCCAAGUCGCGUGAAGGAUGACUGCCCUAUGGGUUGUAAACUUCUUUUAUAUGGGAAUAAAAUGUUCCACGUGUGGGAUUUUGUAUGUACCAUUUGAAUAAGGAUCGGCUAACUCCGUGCCAGCAGCCGCGGUAAUACGGAGGAUCCGAGCGUUAGCCGGAUUUAUUGGGUUUAAAGGGAGCGUAGGUGGAUUGUUAAGUCAGUUGUGAAAGUUUGCGGCUCAACCGUAACAUUGCAGUUGAAACUGGCAGUCUUGAGUACAGGAGAGGUGGGCGGAAUUCGUGGUGUAGCGGUGAAAUGCUUAGAUAUCACGAAGAACACCGAUUGCGAAGGCAGUUCACUGGACUGCAACUGACACUGAGGCUCGAAAGUGUGGGUAUCAAACAGGAUUAGAUACCCCAGUAGUC
rnacentral:rRNA from 1 species